CAUGGCUAAAAAAGAGCACUGGAUGUCGCACUUUGCUAAGUUUAGCCGGUAAAACUCGACUGUUUCACUGGUUCUUCAGACGUUCUUCAUUUUGUUGAAAAAGGAUACUGUUCACCAUAUCAGAAACACCCAACUACCCCUGUGAGCGAGGUCCUGUGUCCGUCUGCACCAACAAAGACCCUCUUUUUGCCUGACACUGGAGACGUUGGCGAGGUCUGCACCCUGGGACAGAGCAAUGCCAGCCAGCCAGCCAGAGAUGACCCAUGCAUGGCAUAGUCUAGGAGCUCUUGAGAUGAUGAUGAUGAUGAGAUGCAGUGGCUGAAGCAGAACCCGGGGGCCACGCUGCUGCUGCUGCUGCUGCUGCUGCUGCUGCUGCUGGUCAGUCAGUGCUGGGUGAGCAAAGCAGGUGUGCAGUGUUAAAUGAGGACUCUCUCCCGGUGAAAUGUUCAGGUUAUUUCACAGAAGGUAAAGAAGUUUUCUUUAUCUCCAUCUCUCUGAGGAAAUUCCUUCAGCUGGUCCUCUGGUCAUCCUUCAUCUUUACCAACUUGAAGUCUGUCCCUUGUGUUUCCCAUAAAACAUCACAAUACUCUCUCUCUCGCCACCUAUUAACUGAACAGCUCUCUCUAUGAAUCUUUUGCAAUCUGAUCUAGGUGAACUGCUCCCUCUCUCUCUCUCUCUCUCCAUCACACUCUUUCCCUCUGUCUAUUUCUUGCUCCCUCCCUCCCGUGGUGUCACAGAAGCUGCCAUUUGCAGCCUCUCUCCUUCCCUCCCUCCCUGCCUCCCCCUUUUCUCCUCCCCCCUCUCUCUCUUGCUCUUUCUCUCCCUCCCUCCCACAUCAUGGCACUACCAGUUGACAGCAACUUGAUGCGCAGACGUAUCAUUGAGAGAAAACACAAGCAGACAAUGCGCCAUUGUAUUGAAUCACUUGUUAAUCAAAAGUGAAUCGAGGGCGACAUUAUGAGGAUGACAACGACGUCCCAAACAAUACCAACCAGAGUUCACUCCUCCUCUUUUUC